UGCGGCCCGCGACUCAUUUUUAAUUGGCCCGCAGGCAGCAGCAUUUCACACCACCCCCCUCCCCAGUGGGUGCAGUGGAAGUGGCCAGCGGUGAACAGGAAGUCAGUGCCAGAGAGGGAGCCGGAAGAGGAGCAGAACGUCGCAGCAGCAUGUCACACGCGCACCUGCUGCACUUGAGAAAACUGCUGCCGACUGGGAUUCCACCUCUCCUUACAUGCCACAGCACAGGCACACCAACCCGCCUCCCCAUUCCCACUGCAGCAGCCAGCAGCCUCCCAGAUGCUCCAAUUAUGUUUUGAAGCUGAACAAUGUCAGAAGAAGGACCGGUAAUCAAGGAUGUGCCUGUGUCAACAAUAGCCUGACAUCCACCACUGCAGAAUAACACCUCACCAUUUAUUUGGACACUACAGGAAAAUGGAGACAAUCAUAUUAUUAAGAUCUUCUGAUAUAUCAGUUCCUUGAUAUAUUUAUAUGGUGUGCAGUCCCCUACUGCAAUAGAAGGAUAUCCCAGGCCAAGUAUGCCAUCAAAUUCAGCAUCAACAAAAGUACUGCCAGGCUCCGAGACACUCUCUCCAAACUGCUGGUUCUGCACCAAGAUACCUUCCACCUGAUGAGAGUAAAUGAGUUAGAAGAGCCCAAUCCAUAUACACAGAUGGAACCCACAAGUUUGAAGAACCAGUGUCAAAAAUCACAGUAAAGUUCUGAGGAGGUGUUCCAACAGAGAUCUCUCCAAAGUAUUCCACCUACAAAGAGAGGAAUAAUUAAACAAAUUAAUGUUACACAUAAUGGAGUACAGAGAUGUGUGUAUGUGUAUUGUUUUUCAAGUGUAUCUGUGUUGUUGUUUUUUCUGCAGGUGAAAAAUACACAUGCAUUAUCUUCAAAUACAUAAGGACAGGUAUGGGAACACUUACGCACAAAACAUGUCACAUGUUAAUUUCCCCAGGACAUUAUAUUAUCUAUGAAAUUGCUUUUUAAAAGGGUUGAUGAACUGCUUUUCUGGAACUACUGUUAUGUAAAAUAUAAUGUAUACUGUUUCUCAUUGUUUUCUCAUCAUCUUCUCUAUGUUUGCCAUUCUUAUAGCGUAUGUGACAUCAAUGUGGUUUGCAUCCCACAAUAUACACAGUUGUUCGUACAAUUCA